AACGUUAUUUAUAUCACCCCUUUUCCUGAGGUGAAUGGUUUCACCCACUACUCUCCCGGAACUGAGGCUUUGACAUCAACAGUUUCACUUUGUUACACUUUUGGUGAGCAAAACGGCUAAUAACGUAGCUAAAUACUGACAUUAUCCUCAAUCGAGAUAUCUGUUCAUAUCUAAAUACAUGGCUCUGCUUUGGUCUAUUCCAUUGAUAUUGUCAAACUGAACAUUACAUUGAACAUGUGAGUCAUUUAGCAGACGCUCUUAUCCAGAGAGACUUACAGUAGUGACUGGAUACAUUUUCAUACGUUGCAUUGGCAGGACAAUUCCAUUAGUAGUUGGGAGGAGAGCAGAAACAGCCUAACACCUCCACUGAUACUGUGUAACCUGUCUGCAGUCAACCAGCCAUCCAGACUGAAGUGAAGGCCUUGUUACAGAAUGAAAACACCUUCUCUUUCGUCGGCAUGGCAACCUGUAAACAUGUCAGUGGCGUCACAAUGUUGCACAACAGCAGCAGAACAUUGGAUGGAGGGUCAUUGUAUCAUUACACAGUGUCACUGUCUAUUCUACUGUAUUGGUACAUGUGGUAUUACAAUACAUUAGAAGAUCUGUAGACGGAAGCAUUGAAACAAUUUACCAGACAUUGUCAACUAGCAACCUGCUCUGUUUCAGUGCUGUUUAAAUAUCCCACUUAUUUUAUUCUGUUGUUAGAGGCCAUCAGUAGAGACAGUCAGGAAAAUAGUCUUUGGAGCAAGUUUUUUUUCUGUCAAACAUGGGAAGUGUGUCUAUAUAGCACCAUACGUUCUUCAGAAGCUGGACAGCAUAUGAAUAGAAUCCAUCUUCUCUCACCUCAAGACCAACAUCACACAAGAUGCUUCAGAACAACAACAACAACAAGCUGGUGAAGUUGCUACCCAACAGGAACAACCAAUAUGUUUAAGUUAUAUAUUCUACCAAGUGUUAAUGUCAUUGUAGAGGGUGGGUCCCAAAGACCCUCCCCAUUAGUGAUUAAGGGGACUUGAAGAUUCAUCUGUUUUGUUGCAGGCCUUAUAAUCGAUACUGUUUCUAUGUGUCUAAAACUCUGCCACUUUACGUUGUACAAGCAUCUAUAUUAGUCUUUGUGGUUAGGCCCUGGCUGAUGUGAGAGUGGGCUUGCAGGCUGGGUCUGAGUCUAUAUUAGUCUUUGUGGUUAGGCCCUGGCUGAUGUGAGAGUGGGCUUGCAGGCUGGGUCUGAGUCUAUAUUAGUCUUUGUGGUUAGGCCCUGGCUGUUGUGAGAGUGGGCUUGCAGGCUGGGUCUGAGUCUAUAUUAGUCUUUGUGGUUAGGCCCUGGCUGUUGUGAGAGUGUGCUUGCAGGCUGGGUCUGAGUCAGACUGAAACUAGAUAAAGAGAAGUAACCACUGUCUGGUUUUGACAUGUUGAUAUUGUGUGACAGUGGACAAUGCUAAUGAAUUCAGAGAAGCUACUGUACCAGGUUACUUUAUAAGGUAACCUCAGCUUAUUGAUACACACAUACAUUGACGUAGGUGAUCAUACCACCAGGUAGUGACCACAUGUAUAUAAUCAGCUGUGCCCUGAGGUGGGUUGCAGAACUUACUCUGAAACAUACAUGCUGUGUUCCCGUUGUCAACUUCUGUCUGCAACCACAUUAAUAAAUGAAUGAUUGAUUUAAUUAAA